CUCGUCGUCGGGGAGCUCGACGCGGGCCUUCUUGCUCUGGCGGAAGCCGGUGGCCGCGGUGAAGGCGGCGGCGGCGGUCCUGGUCGGCGGCCUGUAGUACGCCACGUCGUUGGCCGCCUGCGAAGCGAAGAGCUCGGGGACCUCCGCCGUCGUCCGGCCGGCGGCGGCGCCGCCCUUGGGCGCCUGGUUGUGGAACAGGUCGAUGUCGGCGAACCACUCCAGCUCCUGGAACCCGAGCGGCGGCGACGACUCCUUCUGCAGCUUGUCGCCGGUCUCGUAGUCGGAGAACUGGAGGAGCUCGUCGACGGCCCAGCCCUGCGGCAGGAACUGCGGCGAGGGCGUGUCGACGGCGACGGUCGGGGCCGGCUGCUGAUGAUGGUGAUGAUGCUCGGAGGAGCCCAUGGGCGGGGCGUGGUGGUCGG
rnacentral:misc_RNA from 1 species